UCCAAAACAUUUUUUACUUAUUUAUUUUCAGUAUUUUAUUUAAAUUAUGUACUUACAUUUGCUGCCCCUACCACAUGGAGCGUUUAAAUUAAAUGUUGUUUUUAUUUUCCAACUGCAAUCCAUUUUUUUGUGACCUCUUGGCCCAGAACUUCCUUCUAAAAGAGAUUUCUUAAUCUCAAUGGGACUUCCUGGUUAAAUAAAGGUUAAUUUAAAAAAAAUAUACAUUUUCGCACAUUUGAGUUUUCCACUUCUUUCGUUUUCAGGUGACUAAUAAUUCCGAGCGUCUCAGAUCAUCUCAGCGUUCGGAGUCAUCCCUCCUCAUCACGGAGCUUCAGCUCUCAUCUCGUACAUCAUGGAGGGUGAACUCCAGUGAUGGAGUUCUUAAAGCUUCAUCCACAGGAGACGUGAGAGCGACCUGACCGGUUCUUUGCUGCCAUCUAGUGAUACAUUCACAGAAAAUAAAAAAAAAUAGAAAAUAAAAAAUGCCAGCUCAACACUGCUGGAAAAAAAGUGCACAAAUCUUAAUAAUAUAGGUAUAUAUUUAUUCAUACAGAUUCAUUUAUACUGGUUAAUUGUAAAAAAAAAAAAAAAAAGGAAAAGUUGUACAGUAAUUAUAUGAACUACAGUCAUUGUCAAAACUUUUUUGAAAAUGUUCAGGUGUCGACCAAUUAAAGGACACAGACCGACCAGAUUCACCUGUUCCAACUGCUCCAGUGUUUGGGACCAAAGCGCCAAAAACAAAAAAAAAUAAGCAUGUAACCCGAUGGAGUUCUGACACACACCUUACUGUCAAGAAAAUGUGAACAUGUAGUGUUGAUUUUACCGAGAACAACGAUAAAAGAGGCGGAGUUUUUUGUACAGGUGAAUCUUCAAGUGACAAAAAUAUGCCCUGUUCUGGUUUUCUUUAACAGUCUCAACCCGUUUCUGACACUUUGAUUUAA